rnacentral:rRNA from 1 species
UACGUAGGGUCCGAGCGUUGUCCGGAAUUACUGGGCGUAAAGAGCUCGUAGGUGGUUUGUCGCGUUGUUCGUGAAAACUCACAGCUCAACUGUGGGCGUGCGGGCGAUACGGGCAGACUAGAGUACUGCAGGGGAGACUGGAAUUCCUGGUGUAGCGGUGGAAUGCGCAGAUAUCAGGAGGAACACCGGUGGCGAAGGCGGUUCUCUGGGCCUGUACUGACGCUGAGGAGCGAAAGCGUGGGGAGCGAACAGG